GGGAAGGAUGACACAUGUUCAGCCCGGCCCAGUGGCAGAGCAGCCGGCGAGGCAGAGCCAAUGGCUGCUUUUCAUGCUCAGUGAGUCCGUCCACCUCCACCCCCCCCUCCCCGAGUCUUUAAGUUGCAGCUUUUAACUACCUCGGUGUUCAAAGCAAAUAUGAUGCUCAGCGUGAACAGAAGGAAGAGCCUGCUGACAGGUAGACAGCAUGGACACUGAUCCCGGCAGGGCCGGCUGCUGAGAGAGGUGUCCCGGGGGUGCUCCUGAGCCUCUCCUGCUCCAGGUGAUGCCCCAGUUCACCUUCGCUUGCUUCUGUGGGCUCCAUGGCUUCUGCAAGAUGAAGAGGAAGAAAGAAGAGUCCAGUGCACAGCAGGAGACGGCCGUGUGAGGAGCAGACAGACCCUGCCGAGCUGUGCCUCGGGACGGCCCCUCGACGCUGGUUGUGGCCAGGGAGAGCGAAAGGCACGGGAAUGACCUUGCCGGGAGGCAGAAGAAGAGGCUGGGGGUGUCACCCAGGAGCUGCAGCAAUCCCACCGGGUGCUGAGCCCCCAGCACCCCAGCACUCGGGGUCAGAGGGACCCUACAUCCCAGGGGGAUAGAGAUUUCCCUCCUGAACGAGCCAGCCUGCCCUUGCUCCGGCAAAUCUCAACAGACAGACCUGGAAAGGGUUUCAAAAGCCGGGGCCAGACCUUGGAAUCUCAGUCCUGGGCAGGGUUGGCCCCUGGCUGGUAAGUUGUCCUGCUGCUGCAGGACUGGCUGAAGGCAGAAAAGGAGCCGGUUUGGGGCUUGUUUCUCCUUUUAAAGCCUCAAGCAAUUGUCUGUGAGUGCAGGAAGCCAUUCUCUGUGCCUCUGCCCUCCUGCUCCCGUGGCUGCAGCACCCUGGGGUGCUCUGGAGGCACCAGACACACGGACCCUGCUCGGACCAGUGCAGACCAGGAGCUUCCACCCCACAGGCAGGGGGGACACCUCGGGGUGUGAGCCCACCCCCCUGCACCCCUGGGCCAUGAGGCUCAGCAGGAGAUUCUUCUUUUUUGGUGAACAGGACCAAAUUCCUGAGCUUGGGGCACCUGAGAUUCGCUCCAGGGCCAUGUUCUCCAGGGCAGAAAUCCUUAAAUUCUUCCAUGCUGUGCUUCCCUCCUCCCUGUGGAGACCCUCUGAGCCUGGGGCCAAAAGCAGUGCCCUGGACUGCUGGGCAGGAGCUGCUCUUCCCCAGGGUUAGUCCUGCUCCUGCCACCACCUUUCCUGUGGUGGCUGUGCCCAGGAACCUCCUUUCCCCCCCCACCCUGUCCCUCUGUCCUUCCCACCCUCUGCUAAAGCCAUACAGGAGCCCCCUGCAUGCUGUGCCUUCCCGAGGGGUCUCAGGCAGACAUUCCCACUGGGAUACCCUCCAAACAGCCCCAGGAUCUGCACAUGGGAAAGCUGGUGAGUGUUGGUGAGCCAGGGACUCCCAGGGUUUGGGUCUGGGUGACAGGUCCCCCAUCCCUGAACACACCCAGGGUUUGGGUCUCAGUGCCCAGUUCCCCGUCCCUGAACACACCCAGCACUCCCAUCCAGGCACCAGCAGCUCCCAUUUGCUGGAGAGCAGCAGGGACAGCCCCUGGAAAGGGAAAAUGCUUGAGGGCAGCUGGUUGGCAUGGGGGGAUGUUGACUCUGAGACCCCCGAGGAGCCCCCACCAUGGGGGAUGAGCACAUUUGGAGCACAAAUCCUCCCCUGUGAUUAAGAGGCUUGACCUUUCCAGGGUUUUCCCAGUGCUCUCAGACCCACACUCAGCCAACAGAGCUGUCUGUGGCACUGACAGCUCCCUUGGGAGCAGAUUUGUUGGCUCAGCCAACAUCCAGGACCAACACGGCUGUUAUUUUCUUAUCCAAAGGAUUUAGCACAAAAAACCUGAGCUUGGCCAGAAGCCCCAAUAACAACCCAAGGUGCAGCUGAGGAGCUUUAAAUCCUCCCUGCUGGGUGCCUGUUUCCCGGGAAAGCAGCUGGCUAGGGUGGGAUGUGCUGGGAGGUGGGACAGGGGCAGGGGGACACGGGCUGUGCGUGGUCUGUGUGUGUCACACCCGGGCUGGGGCAGCUCAGGACACUUUGCUCUUUCCCCUCUUUAAUCCCAAGCUCUGUGAGCUGUGGGAUCCAGGGCUGCAGCCCCCCAGCAGCGUUCCCAGGUGGGUAUUUCCCAGCUGGACUCCAGUUCUGGCAUGGAAGAGGGCACACGGUGACACGUGAGGUGGACAUGUGAGGGAGCAGCCAGUCCAGCUGCCCUGUCACUUGUCACCACCGAGCCCAGCAGGUUUCCAGCCUGAUUAAUGCUGAUGCUCCCACGUUUUGGCUUGGCUGGGGGACUCAAGGGGGGUCCCUGCUCAUGAUCUGAGCAGGCAUCACCCUGUGAGAGCAGCAGGGCAGGCUCCAGGGAGAGCACCCAGAGCAGAGGUGUUUGGAGGAAAAUCAUGGGAAGCUGUGCUCAGAUGGAACUAAAUCAUUGCUGAGGGGUGAGGAAGAGUGGCCCAGUUCAUUGCUGUGCUGCUGAACCUCUUGGAUCACAGAGCCAGGGGUGGUGCUGAGGAUGGGCAGCUAUUGAGGUUCUCUGUCUCUGGAGCAGCACUGGGGAGGAGGCUGGAGCUGGGGAGGGGCUUCCAGUUCUCCCAGUUGCAGUGGGAGUCCCCCAGCCUGGGCUGGGCUGAGCUGUCUCGAAUAUUCCUGUCUCCAGAGAGGGGUUCCCAAGCCCGGGGUUUAAUGAACGUAGCACGUAAAACUGAGACAGGCAGACACUCGCCCACACCCAUUAUAUGUGCAUUUAAAACACGAGACAAAUGAACCAGGAGCCAUGUGAACGUCAAAGCACUCGAGCUUCAGCAGUUAUUUUUUGAAGAGAAUCUCCCACCUCCCUGGGUGGAUGGAGCUCUCUCGAAGCAACAAUAUGUUUUCCACCGUGUCUCCCAGCGAGAUGGUUUGCUCCUGGAUUGACCUCUAUUGUGUUCAUAAACGGCUCGUGGUGCUUUUUUGAUUCCCCCCCCCCCCCCGUCAGAAUGACUUGACCUCCAGAUUUACGGCUGAAGGUCUUUGUCGUCCGCACGUUGUUUCCCCACCAGACUGCAGCCUGAUUUUUUUCUUUGCUUUUCUGGGGCGAAUCUGCCAAGAGCUGAGCAUAUCCCCCACCCUGCCCCGAGCCCCUCGGAGCCCCCCCCCAUCCUCCCACUGACAAAUCUGCAGUGGGCAAAAGCAAAUGGAUUUUUGUUUCUCUCUUUCCCGUGGCGGGCGUUUUAAUAGGGCAGCGUCUGCUCGGAGCCUGCGAGGGCUGGGGCGUGACAGCUCCUGUCACAGAACACUCUCUCCUCGUCUCCUUCUCUCUUCCCCCACGUUUGCACAACCCCUGGCAUUUUUAUAAGCUCGGGGUUUGCUUAUUUUCCAGGAUUUCCUCUUGCUCUCCUGCCUUUGGCUCCUCCAACCCCACUUUUGCUUCUCCGCUCCAGAGUCCCCCGGAGCUGAGCGAUGCUGGAGUAGAUAAAUCUUACUGACUUACUAACUAUCAUCCAGUAGUUUCCAAGUGCUUUUCCAAGGUUUUUCCAUCCUCUGGAGGGAGGAAGGAAGGUGCAGGGACCCCCCUGGGCUGAGCAGUGAGCUCAGGCUCUCUGGGGCUGCACAACCCCUCGUGUCCUGGCUGCUCCUGAGCAUCCUUGGAGACAGGGUGCAGCAAGGAGUGAGGUGUCCUCUCCAUCAAGAAUCCAGCUCAGUGUACAGCUGGAAUCUCUGCAAAUCCCUGUUCCCUCACACCAUGGGUUCCCAGGGUCUCUGGAGAGAGCCUCCACCUCCACCCCUGCUCAGGGAAAGGAGAGCCCUGCUCCCAAAAGAUGCGUUUGUUCCCACCAGCAAUAAUCCUCCUUUAAUCCUAUUACACUGAGGAAGGCAUCCAACUUCCCUCGGAGCAGAUGAUGGGAUGCACAGAGAAGGGGGCCCCUCUCUCCCUGUUGAUGCCUGCCCUGGAUCCCCACUGGGUUUUUGGGGGUGGGUGUCCACGGCUCAUCCCCUUCCCGUGCACCCCGAGCUUUUCCUGCAGUGCCAAAGGUCUGGAGUGAAAGCAACGACACCCCUGGGAUGGAGCAGAACAUCCCCUGGAAUGAGGAGCAGCCUGGAUCAAGGGCUCAGACCUGGAGCUGAUGCUGGAGUGUCGGGAAAAAACAGUUUUAUGACCCAAGUGAGCAGAACAGGGCCUCAGGCUCACCCAAGACAGGCAGUGUGGGCCCCCUCCGGGAAAUAUUGGCUUCCUUGGAGGGAAGGAAGAGGAAAGAGCAUCCAGAUGUUUAUUGUGUGUGGAAAACAGCCAGGCUGGGGACCAAAACCUGGGGGUAGGGGGGUGUAGAUCCCUUGGAAGAUGGGCUGGGUGAUGGAGGGAUCCUGGUGACAGAUGGAUCCUGGUGUUGGAAUUGUGCUGGUGCUGGAGGGAUCCUGGUGUUGGAAUUGUCCCAGUAAAAGAGGAGUCCUAGUGAAUAAGGGGUCCUAGAGGCAGAGGGAUCUUGGUUUUGGAGAUCCUGGUGCUGAAGGAUUCCUGGUGUUGGAGUUGUCCUGGUGCUGGAGGGGUCCUGGUGCCAGAGGGGUCCUGCCAGAGGAGUCUGCAGGAUCUGGUGUGAGGAGUGUGCAGGAUCUGGUGUGAGCUGCAGGAAUGUUUGUGCACCGAGCUGGAAGGGCACAAGCACCAGCUGUGGGAGACAAGCCAAGGAAAAACUGCAGCUUGAACUCUCCAUCUGGUAACACAUUCUUGAAGGGUUUGCUGGAGACGUGAAAAAGGAGCAGAAAAUAACCCUGGGGAGCCCGAGGCACAUGCUCCACAGCAGGACAGUCUGUCCACAGCAGGACAGACUCCCACCCAAGCCACAACCUGGAGCACUGGGCUCACAACGAGCUGUGUUUGCUGCAGGCAGGGCAAUCUCUGCAUCUUGGGGGGUAGCCAAGAGAAAACCACCUUUUUCUUUUAUUAUUAUUAUUAUUAUUAUUAUUAUUAUUAUUAUUAUUAUUAUUAUUUUUUCCCCAGAAGUCACCUGGUCAAAGCCAUCCUUUUUCCCCCUCCCACAGGCAGGAUUUUUUUCCAGCUCCUCCUGGGCAGUUGGAUGACACAGACUGGAUGCUCCCAGCCUGUUCCAGCUCACCCCUCCCCGAGCCUUCCUCUAGCUCAAAAUUAUCUGUGGCUGCCCCAAAAUCCCCCGUUUUCCAGAAUGUUAUUCCGAGGACAAAGCACAGGCAGCUUUGGGCAGCUCCAGGUGGGCACAGGGGAAGCUCGUGUUGUUUUGGGAGAAAAUGCUGACCGUGUUCUGUUCCUAUUUUUGCACAUCAGCAGAGCCUCCCGAGUUCAGGGUUUGCAGCCCUGGAGAGUCCUUGGUGAGGACCUUCAGAUUUAGCUUUGGGCCAAAAAAAAAAAAACCAAAAAGAAACCAACCAAACAAACAAAAAAAAAAAACAGGGAAGUUGGUGCAACCCAAAGUGUAUUUCUUGAAUGUAACUUUAUUUUUGCACGAGGAUUCGUGGUGGUGACCACGUGGUGGACUUUAUACUUGGGAUUAAUCACUGCUCUGCAGUUUGUUACAAGUGUAAGGUGUGGGUCGAGUUUGACCCUUGUUUUAUGCCAGUGUGAACCCAGAGAGACAAUCUGACACUGAGGUGUCUACAGAAAUAUUAAUUAAACAGAAAUGAGCUUGGACUGGACCCCAGCACUCAGAUUUUCUCCUGUUUCUCCAGAUUUUUCCUAUGCAAACCACCAACAACCAACCAGCACAAGCAGGCAAAGGCAGGCUCACAGCAGGUCCUGACUCAACAAAGCCCUGCCUAAAUCUAAGUGUUUGCUUUGGGAUUUUGCUCCAGCCAAUAAAUUCUCCUGAUUCCACCCGAAAUAAACCUGUAUCGAUCCCUGACAAAGAGGGAAAGGCACAGAACCAUCCUUGCAACACCCCUGACAGGGAUCAGAGCAUUAAACCUCUUGUAUUGUCCUUUUUUUUUUUUUUUUUUUAUCCCACUGCCUGGAUUUCAUCAGGAGGGACCUGUUCCUCAGGAGUUUCCCGGCCCCAGGAGCCAUAGAAAAACAGUACUGUACGUUUGGGAAAAUAAAUGUGGCGUUUGUAAAUAAACACACACACACACACGUCUCUACGCACAGAGCAGAGCACUUCCCGUGGGAAUUCCUAUGCGAGAGGAAUACAUGAGUUAAACAAAUAAAAUAAAAAAUAUUUGU